UACGGAGGGUGCGAGCGUUGUUCGGAAUUAUUGGGCGUAAAGCGCGUGUAGGUGGUCGGGUAAGUCAGAUGUGAAAGCCUUCUGCUUAACAGAAGAAGUGCAUUUGAAACUGCUCGGCUAGAGUACGGGAGAGGAGAGUGGAAUUCCCGGUGUAGAGGUGAAAUUCGUAGAUAUCGGGAGGAACACCAGUGGCGAAGGCGGCUCUCUGGUCCGAUACUGACGCUGAGGUGCGAAAGCGUGGGGAGCGAACAGG
rnacentral:rRNA from 1 species